rnacentral:tRNA from 1 species
GCUGAAGUAGUAUAAAAAUUACAUUUAACUUCCAAUUAAAAAAUCUAGAAUAUAGCUUAAGCA